rnacentral:lncRNA from 7 species
CCCCCCAUCCCCACAGCCCCACACCGCGCACCCCACAGCCCCCCCACACCCACGACCCCACACCCCCACCCCCGUGACCCCGUGACCCCACACCCCCCCCGUGACCCCCCCGUGCCCCCCAGGUGGGCGCAGAGGCGGUGCCGCUGUCUCUGCUGUCUCUGCCCCACUCCUUCCUGGGGGCGCUGCGCCGCUUCCUGGGCCCCCCCGCGCUGCGCCUCUUCCCCGGAUACCGCACGCAGGGCCGCGCAGUGCUGAGCUCCGUGGUUCGGUACCGCCCCCUAUCGGACCCCCCGCCCCCCCCCGGCCCCGAACACGGCCCCCCCGCGGCCACCGUCACCGUCAGCAUAGGACUGGGGGGGGACCACCAGGGUGGGGGGUGGCGCUUCCCGCGCUACGACUGCUCGGUGGCGCCGCCCCCCCCGGGUUGGGCUCUGCUGCACCCCGGGCGCCUCACGCACCGCCCCCAAGCGCUGCCCCCACUGCGCGGCGCCCACUACGUCCUGCUGACGCUGCUGGACCCGUGAAGGACGGUGGGGAGAUGGGGGGCGGUGGGGGUGUGGGGGGGGAUGGGGUCAUGGGGGGCGGUGGGGGUGUGGGGGGUGAUGUGGACAUAGGGGGUGGGUGGGACGUGGGGGCAGUGGGGGUGUGGG